GAACCCUGCUGGUGUAUGUUACCCUGUGUGAAAAGCCCUGUCCUGACGUAAAGAGUUUGAUUUUUGAAAAAUGCGUUUCCUCCUCGAAACAAUGGGCUACACUGUGUACUCCACACUAUAUAAACCCAACUUCGUGGGAAAGCUGCACACAUCGUCUCCAGUUUUUCAUGGAGAGGGUCUCGUCAAGAAGCUUCACUGCACACUGGGCGACCAUUCCUGGCUUCCACGGCUGUGCACAAGCAACUACUGAUAAAAAGAAACUACAGGCAACCUAACCAUGACUGACAAGACCUUACCUCCCUUCACCGUUCAUGGUGGGAGCACCUCCUCUCUGGACACCCUUGUGCGGAAGAAACACAACAUGUCGCAGCCCCGUGACCGUCGCAUGUUGUAUGGCAUAGCUGCAGCA